GGAGAGGAUGCAGAGGAGGAGGAAGAAGAAGAAAAGCGGAGCAGAAGCACAAGGUGCGUGUGCACACGUGGGAAGCACAUUCCCCAAGCUGUCUCCUCGGCCAGCCUGGACUCCCCAGGAUGUCUGCUCCAAGUACGAAUGUGUAGACUGAGCUGGUCGGACCAGCGCCUGGAGUCGUCGGAGCCGCUGUCGGUACACCAUGUGGCGGUGGCCCUGCAGGAGGCUGCCCGCGGCCUGUGGCUGGUGCUGCUGGGCUGGCUGGACGUGUCCUUGGGGUCCUGGCUGACACUGGGCUCUUCUGUUUCAGAAUCACUGCUGUCGUCAUCUUGGGCUUGCUGCCCUGGUUCCCUACCACCUUCAAACAUCUCUCAAAGGAGGGAUCCCCAGGGAAAAGUGUGAGCAAGUGGAACCGAAAGCUGCCAAGGGACAGCUUUGAUCUGCAGUGAGGCAGGCUGCCCUUCAGUCUCAUCUCCAGUACACAGUCCUUCUCCGUGGACUUUGCCCUUUUGCAAAAUGGCCACAGUAUGCAUGCACGCGGAAGAUGGCACUCGCUGUCUCAAUGCUCUGAGUCCUGCCCUCCUCCCACCCCACUAAUCUCAUCUGCUUUAGUCAUUCACUAUAUAGAAAGGUGACUCAUUUCAGGGGACUCCAUCAUCCAAUGCCUUGGAUAAAGCAGGUGACCAACAGUUACGGAUUCAAAUUCUCUCAAUUUUACGCUCUUCCUACCAACACUUCAGACAACCUCUUCUGAAGCUACAAUUGCGCCUGUGGGGAUUUACAUCAAACACAGUGCAAGCAUUAAAACGUGCUGCCUA
ensembl:antisense Gm20548 predicted gene 20548